rnacentral:rRNA from 1 species
UGGUGGAGUGAUUUGUCUGGUUAAUUCCGAUAACGAGCGAGACCUCUGCAUACUAAUUAGCUGCGGGAAUCUCUGGAUUCCUUCUAGUUGCUUCUUAGAGGGACUAUCGGUGUGUAGCCGAUGGAGGUUCGAGGCAAUAACA